GAGAUGAAAUCUAACAAUACCUGGUUCGCCUCUUCCAUCUCUUAAACUUAUUUUCACCGCCGCACUUCUUUCUCUUUCACUCUUAUUAACCUUAUUAUUUUCUAUGCAACUGGUUGAAGAUGGAGAUUUAGUGUUUUUAUGAAGAUGAACAGUUAGAGAUGAUGUUGUUAUAAGUAUUUGUUUCUGUAUUCUGAAAAGCGUAAAGGGCAAGCUGGUUGUUAAACUGAUGAUUGAGACGCAAAAAAUCGCAUACAAUUUCAACAGAUGUUGAUAGAGGUGGUACUGGACCUCCGCUGCUAUGGUAGUUUUGGAGAUGUUGAUGGAGGUGGUAAUGGACUGCCGCUGCUUUGCUGGUUUUGAAGAUGGGGUGGGAAUUGCUGUUGCUGUACUGGUCCGCAUUCAGCACAUGACUGACAAUGGCUCCUAAAGGCUCACCAUUCCACAUCCAGGGGUCUAAAUGGUGCCCAUCUAUCUGAUUAACUAUGGUUUAAGUUACUUGGGUUAUAAGUGAAGGGUAUAUAAGUAAAAAAAUUGGGACCGUUUUUUUCAAAACUGUUAGAUCGGAUGGUAGAUGACCAUUUUGUAAAUCAAAUUCAAAAGUGUGAUCAUUUUGUAAACCAAAUUACAAAAGUAUGACUAAUUUGUAAUUGGCCUUUUUUAAAAAAAUUGGAAAAAUGGUAAUUAUUACAAGAGUUUACUAUCAUAGCCUUCA